CGGAGGAUGCAAGCGUUAUCCGGAAUCAUUGGGUUUAAAGGGUCCGUAGGCGGUUUAAUAAGUCAGUGGUGAAAGCCCAUCGCUCAACGAUGGAACGGCCAUUGAUACUGUUAAACUUGAAUUAUUAGGAAGUAACUAGAAUAUGUAGUGUAGCGGUGAAAUGCUUAGAGAUUACAUGGAAUACCAAUUGCGAAGGCAGGUUACUACUAAUAUAUUGACGCUGAUGGACGAAAGCGUGGGGAGCGAACAGGAUUAGAUACCCUGGUAGUCCACGCCGUAAACGAUGGAUACUAGCUGUUCGGAGCAAUCUGAGUGGCUAAGCGAAAGUGAUAAGUAUCCCACCUGGGGAGUACGUUCGCAAGAAUG
rnacentral:rRNA from 1 species